UACGUAGGGUGCGAGCGUUAAUCGGAAUUACUGGGCGUAAAGUGUGCGCAGGCGGUUUUGUAAGCCAGAUGUGAAAUCCCCGGGCUCAACCUGGGAAUGGCAUUUGGGACUGCAAGGCUGGAGUGCGGCAGAGGAGACUGGAAUUCCUGGUGUAGCAGUGAAAUGCGUAGAUAUCAGGAGGAAUACCGAUGGCGAAGGCAGGUCUCUGGGCUGACACUGACGCUCAUGCACGAAAGCGUGGGGAGCAAACAGG
rnacentral:rRNA from 1 species